CGUUGUUUAUGUACCUCCCGUAUCAGAGCGUGCAUGGUCCAAUUGAGGUGCCAAAGAAGUACGAGGACAUGUAUCCGAACGUGAUUAAUGAAGGGCGAAGAAAGUACAGUGGAAUGGUGUCUGCACUGGAUGAGGCAGUGGGGAAUGUUACCAAAGCACUGAAGGAUCGGGGCUUGUUUGAAAAUACUCUGAUUCUAUUCACUGCAGAU